rnacentral:rRNA from 1 species
GACGAACGCUGGCGGCAUGCCUAACACAUGCAAGUCGAGCGAGUAGAUCCCUUCGGGGUGAAGCAAGCGGCGGACGGGUGAGUAACACGUGGGCAACCUGCCUCAUAGAGGGGAAUAGCCUUCCGAAAGGAAGAUUAAUACCGCAUAAGAUUGUAGUACCGCAUGGUAUAGCAAUUAAAGGAGCAAUCCGCUAUGAGAUGGGCCCGCGGCGCAUUAGCUAGUUGGUGAGGUAACGGCUCACCAAGGCGACGAUGCGUAGCCGACCUGAGAGGGUGAUCGGCCACAUUGGGACUGAGACACGGCCCAGACUCCUACGGGAGGCAGCAGUGGGGAAUAUUGCACAAUGGGGGAAACCCUGAUGCAGCAAUGCCGCGUGAGUGAUGACGGCCUUCGGGUUGUAAAGCUCUGUCUUCGGGGACGAUAAUGACGGUACCCGAGGAGGAAGCCACGGCUAACUACGUGCCAGCCGCCGCUGUAA